rnacentral:lncRNA from 1 species
UAGUUCCAGCAACCCUGGUGCUAAUGUGAGUGUUCUCCUCUUCGUCAAGCUUGGCCAAACCAAAGUCCGAGAUCUUAGCAUUGAGGUCUUGGUCCAGUAACACAUUAGUAGUUUUGAUGUCUCUAUGUACAACCUUUACUGCCGAUUCCUCGUGCAGAUAAGCCAGACCUUUUGCUAUGCCUACGCAUAUUUUCUGCCUUGUAGGCCAGUCCAAGUUUAGGAGAUCAUCCUCUGGACCUGCAAUUGCAUACCUUAUUAUUGGAUCACUUUAGAACCUUUGAAUGCAUGACUUCAGGAUUAAUUUGUUCCUAAAAUAGAUAAGCUUACCGUACAAAGCGCGAGCAAGGCUAUUGUUUUCCAUGUACUCAUAUACCAACAAUAACUGGUUUGCUUCAAUACAACAUCCAUACAUUCUAACCAGAUUUGGAUGCUGCAAGCAAGAGAUCAUCCCUAUUUCGUUCACAAAUUCACGAUUUCCCUGCUUUGAUUUUGAGGAUAGUUGCUUAACUGCAAUUACAGUGCCAUCCAAUAGUACACCCUGCAUUAAGCAUAGUGAACUAGUUUUCAGUCCUGAUAAAAUUAGGCCAUAUUAUUUGUAAGAUAACAGGAUAACAGUUGUCUAAUACCUUGUAGACGGACCCAAAACCACCUUCUCCAAUUUUGUUUAAAGGAUCAAAGUUAUUAGUGGCAGCUUUCAUUUGCCUCAAGGUGAAAAAACCAGUCUGUUGAUCCAGUCCUCUCAGAACUGUCCAAAAAACCAAGUUAGGAUAAUGUCUGUGAAAAUUGAUAAAAUGACAUAAUACCUGUGUCACAUGGAACUUGAAAGAAUAAGGCCAACGUGACAUAUGAAAUUGGCAUAGUAGAUUUGCAGCACCUUCUUCCCUUGAUGUAUGACUAUCGACCAGACAGCCUGGCAAGUUGCCUGUCCACCAUAGGAUUCCUAAAACAAGAAAUACUAGGCAUAGUGCUCCUACUACAAGCCCAAUGACAAUUUGAGUAGUUCCCUUAUUACCAGCACUAGAGCAAGGUCUGAAAUCUGCCAGUGUAUCUAUAAAUUAGCUUUACCAGGAUAAGAUGAUACGAAAAUAAAGAAAAGAAACAUGACCACAAAAUGGAAAAUGAUAAGAAAAAGUGUAGAAGAGGUUGAGAAGUGUUCACUGGAGGCUUCAUACAAAACCAUCCUACAAGGAUUAAAAGCAAAUUCAUUUCUUGACAUGCAUUGUAAGUAGUUGAAUGACUCACCAGAUUUCACUGAAAUAGCAGAGACAAGGGGACCAUAAACUCCUUUGUCAGGAAUCCUGGUUGUCCCUUUACCCGCAAAAUAGAAUCGGAUCUCUAAGACAUUAUUAGUCACACUUAUAUUUUGUCGUAGUACUACUGGAGUUUGAGCCAACUUGGCCUGAUCUUCAAUAUUGAAGUCCUUCCACCAUAGUUUAUCCUGAGAAAAAGUUCUCAACAUUAAAUCUCUUUGCUCCUUUAAUGAAACAUAUUCAACAACGUAACUAGCUACCUGAAUAUAGAUAUCAAAUAUGCGCCUCCCAAGACUUGUGAAUGUUUGGUUAUUUGUAAACUGUAUCUCCGCGAAGUGCAGACUUAGAGUAUAGUUACCAUUUUCUAAGCAAUAAUGAAAAUAAGCGAGUGAAAUUGGAGCUCUGCGUGCUGUUGUAUAUAAUUCCGAGUGAUUCGAAGAUGCCACAGAUACAGAGUAACGUGAAUUUUGGAAACCUUUGUCAUCCAUGAAGUCUCCGGUGCUACUAAAUCCCCAAUAAUGAUCAUCAUUGAAGAAAUUCUCUGCAGCGUUACCUUCAAUUCCUCCAUCUCCUAGAUACAGAAUGCUUUCUUUGUUUUCUUUGACAGUGAUGUCAUUCCCACCACAAUUUACAUGCAAACAAGUCGAAUCUGGCAUAAUAUAUCAAAAGGAAUAAUAAGUAAGAGCAUCUGAACUCAACUUUGCGUAAUAGAGUAGUGAAAGCAACAGUUAAAAUUUAUGUAUUUACGACUAAUCCAUGACAUUUAAUCUCUGAACUCAACUUAGCCAGAUUUUAUUACUUUUGCAAGAAAGAACAAUUAACUUUUUGAUUACCAUCUUAUAACUGGGUUUACUUGUAGAGCACUGCAUGGCAGUCGAGUCUAUUUGAAAAAAAAUAAUAAUUCAAACCACUUGGAAUAUAGGCUUACAGCGAGGACAAAUCAAGCUCUUCAAGCACGGAAGACCUCUCUUUCUGUGACAAGUGAGUGAAAUAUGUUAGCAAAGAUUGUACAUCAUUCAGAUAUUUAACAUAUUUACUUAGGAUGGAAAGAACAGAAAGCAGCUCAGAUGGAGAGAAAUAGUGUCUUACAAGUUGCUCUCUGAGGAAGAGCUUCGAAACAAGUUCAGGUUUAGAUUCCUAAGAACAGGAAAAGUGGUCAAACAACUAUCAGUUAAAUCCAUAAUUAUUCACUAGAACGUAUACUGACUCUUUUGCCUGACAAGCAGGUCGCUCAGGGCCUUGCCAUGUGAAGUUAUUGUACGAUAGAUCACUGCAUAAACGCAUAAAUAUUACUCUCUUUUUAAAGAAAGGAUUCAAGCUACAAGUGAUGAUGUCCUAGAAUUCCAUUGAGUAUUACCCAAAAAAAACAAAAAACAAAAAGAAUUCCAUUGAGUAAUAAAUACCCAUGAGAUAGUAAAUUGCUUAUAUGAAAAGAGAAAAAGGAAUAAUAUGACGCAUCCAAAAUGACAUACACACUACUUCCAUCUUUGAAGAUCAAGUCUGGUAUACUUCCACUCAGAGAGUUCCCGGUUAAGAAUCUACAGGAAGCAGUAACUGAUUUUAGAGUGUUAUGUCAAAGUUAUUACUAAAAUAUAAAAACAUAAAAUCAAAAGCUUAUCAGACAUUAACCUAAAUAGUUAACUUGCAUUUGGUUAAUAUUGUAUGACUGUAUAGUGUGAGCUAUGAAAUCAAAAUAUCCGAAACUUAUGUAGGUGCAUUUGUGUGCCCAUGUAUGUAUCUCAGAAAUUUUGUCCCUUUUCCCAGAAAUAUGUCUUGGCAUUUUACAGAAACUUUCCACAUGCCAUUGAUCCGGCAGUUAAUAGAAUGAAGUACAAAUUUCUACUUACAGGAAUUUCAAUCGCUCUAUGCUGAUUGUGGUUGGAAUUUCCCCUAUCAACUUGUUAAAACUUACAUCCCUGACAUCAUACAAAAACAUAAUCAAAAUCCAUUUAUGGUCAUGAUAAAUCACAUGUAAUCAAUGGAAGGUUAUCUUUGAAAGCUUUACUUACAGCAUUGUCAGGUUCUGCAGUGUCCACAUGUAAGGAGGGAUCUUUCCAGAAAUGUUACAGUUCCUCAGAAUCCUAAAUUACAUAACGGAGUUGUAUUAACAAACGUGUAUUACAUAUAAAAGCAUGUUCGCAUAGCCGAUAAUACAAAUACUAGACAUACAAUUUGAUUAGGCCAGUCAUGUUUUUCAGCAUAGGAAAAUCUUGCUCUGUUCCAUUUAUAUCACUAAUCCUCCUAUAUACAUAUGACACCACACAAGGAAAAAGAAAGGAUUGAUUAGUUCACUACAGAAAAAGAAAAGAAAAAAAGAAUGAAUCCCAAACAAAAUUGAAAAAUGCUUUCCACUUACAACUCAACUAAAUUACUCAGGAGCGAUAUAUUUGACGGGAUAGGUCCACGAAGCCCACUGCCAUGUAUUUCUCUUCAAAUUCAAAUAACGAAUAAACAUUAAACAUAAGAAAUAAGUAUGAAAUUAUAGGGCCACUUAUAAAGAAAAAAAAUGGCCUGAGUUGUAUCAAAGGAAAAGAUCUUACAAUCUACUGAGUUGUUUCCAAUUCUGUAUAAAAUCAGGUAUAGUCCCAUUGAAGUUGUUAUCAUUUAUCCUACUGCAUUGGACAAUAAAAUGGUAUUACUUUGGCAUGUAAACCACUUUUGCACAUUAUAAGAAAAGCAAAUGCGGUAAAAACUUACAAAUCUGUCAAAUUUCUUAGACCAGCAAAUGUGUUCGGUAUAUUUCCAGUCAAAUAAUUGGAGGACAGCCUCCUGAAAUUACAAUACCAAAGCAACAACAACAUUUACCUAUCAUUGACCCUUCAGCAAUGGUAACAGAGUAUUGAGAAGGAAACACUCAAAGUUUUCCAGAAAAGAAAAUGUUCCUUACAAACUUCCCAAGUUGAUUAAACUCCCAAGCUCAGGAGGAACAACUCCAGAGAAUUGAUUUGCUUCAAGAGUCCUGCUUAUUGCAGAACAAAAGAAAGAUUGUUGAUACAAGAUAUAGAUGAUGACAGUCGACGACCCAACCUAGUAGAUCAAUAACAGAGACAAUCAUAAAACUCACAGGUAUGUUAGAGUGGUAAUAUUUCCCAACUCCACUGGAAUCUCCCCUGAUAAGCGAUUUACAAGAAGAGAGCUGUGCACAGACCUUCUAAUUAGUGCAGAACAAGAACAAUGGACUCAAAUAUAUGAUCAAGAAAACUGAUAUUGCUUACAUUGAUGUUAACUGCAUUGAACCCCAUUCUGCUGGUAUCGUACCACUGAGAUAAUUAUAAGCCAAAUCACUGCACGAAAAUGAAGAAGGUUCAAGGCACUCAGCAAUAAAACAGUUAUUUUGAAAUGUCAUCAGACAUCACUUUUCAAGUCUUGUACUUUAUAAAUGCUCUUACAUUUCUCUAAGGUAAGGGAGUUUCACCAGUUGAGGUGAAAGUUUUCCAGGUAGACUAAACCUCUCGAGUACUCUGUCAGAUUGAAAUAUAUGAAUUCAGAUACUAAACAAGUAAGCAGAGAACAAUAUUAACAAGAAAUAACAGAGAUUGGUUUCAAAUAAUGAAUAGUGGCAAUCAUUUACAAUUAUCUUCUCUUUGUGAGAAAAUCCAUCUUUUAUUCGGUAAUGAUAUUGGCAACUAUACUAACCUCCAAUAGACUAAGGUGAAGAUCAUCAAUAUUAUCACUGUCAGAAAUUUAUAUUAGCUGAGAACUUCUACCUCCAAUGCCAAACCACUUUGUCACCUACCAGUAGAUCAGUUUUAGCUGAGAACUUCUAGCACCUAGUAGAUAAGGAAGGCCAAGGUAAGUUUUCACAAUGCAAGGAGGUAUUGCACUUCACUUUAGCCCAUCAGAGGUCAGUAUAGCUUACCCUAUGAAUUAGAUACAAGAAGUUUAUCAACCUCAAUUGUUUUUUUUUUUUUCUUUCAGGUAAAGUUAAUAUCAAACCACCAGCCCGUAUCCUGAUGUGUAAUCAUGCAUUGAAUUGUAAAAGCAUCUAGCAACAAGAUGAGAGAAGAACUAUACAGCUUUACGACGUGACAGACAGUGUUGUUGCAUUCACAUUUGAUGCUACUCUCAGAUGCCUCUGGCAGCUCGGCAGUUACCCCAACCAAUUCAAUUUGGCAAGAACCCCCAUUGAACUUCCAAUACUUAGCUCCCAUUGUACGAGUAAUUUCUUCCAGAGCAUCAACUGUUCACAAUCAAACACCAUCACAUAUCAGUAUAUAGACUGAAAAGUGAAUGGAGGCAAAACCAAGUUUAAUUUUGAUAAUGCGGCACAUAAAAGCACUUCAUGUUGAAUCAAUAUACAAAAGCACUUCAUGUUGAAUCAAUAUACAGCAAUGUCAAAACACUGAUGCCCAACUCAAAAAAAUUGAAGCCUUUAUCAGAAUUCGGUUGCUACACACCAAUAGUUACCAUGACAGAUAACUUUAAACGAUAAUCAGUGAAACUAAUUGCAAAAGAUCAUAACUUUUAUGCACAAUACUUGGCCAAAUAAGAAAUUCUACCCAGCAAACAAACAAAACUAUCUGAUUCUUGGAUCCGGCUCCUCUAAAUUGAGAAGUAUGUGAAGUUAAUUAAAUUUCAUAAAAUCUGUGCUCUCUAUUUAAUCUAAUGGUUCCAAAAUUGACACAUCAUUUCUCUACCAAUUUAUUGCUUUUUUGUAAUUAAACCCUGGUUAACUUCUGUUAACUCUAAAAAGAAGAACUGAAAUUUCUUGUGCUCAAGGGUUCGUAAGUUCGAUCACUGGGAUGAAACAAAGUCAUGGUUUCACGAGACCUAAUUUGAUGAACACGUACUCAGACUUUUGUUUUUCUCUUCGAAUGGGAUGGAUGGUUUCACAUUGAUCUACAUAAUAUUGUAUAUGAUUAACAAAACAAAAAUAUUUAAAAAAAAAACCCAUAACCAAAUAGUCAUGGCGAUAAACCAAUUCCAUAACCCAAAGAUACUGUGAUUUCUUAAGCUUUUGUAAGGUAUCAAUCUAUAAAUCGAUAGAUAUGUAAAGAUCUGAAUUCCUUUAGGUUAUUACAAGUAACUUAAAAUGUCUACAAUAAUCGAUCAAACACUCGCUGAUUGAUAAAUAUAUAUGUAUAUUGAAAGUGUUCAUUUAGAGCAGUUAAACUUCUAUUAUGAAUCUCUCUCAGACUCAUUAUCAAUUCCACUUCAAAUAAACAUUGUAUAAGAGCCCGAAUCUUUAUUGUACAGGAUGAUCGACUUGCAUAUAGAUUUCUCAAUAAACUUAUCAAUUAACACAACUGCGCGCAAGACGUUUAUCCAUAGAUAGUGCACAACCAUAGCAAACAGAAAGAAGGAAUUGAAUGCAAACAAGAACCCUGGAAAUCCCUAAAAAAAAGAAUAGAGUUAACGAAAGUUAACCGGGGUUUAGACAAAAAAAGAAAUAAAUUGGUAGAGAAAUGAUGUGUCAAUUUUUAGAACCAUUAGAUUAAAUAAAGAGCACAUUUAAUCUAAGAUUCUGCAUUUCACAUUCUAUAAAAUAAAACAAUAAGGGGAAAAGCACUAUUCAUAUCUUUGAUGAAUUAUGUUUUUGCCCCCAAUUUUCGAUGAAUUGUGUUUUUGCCCCCAGUUGGUGAAUGAUCAUUUUUGCCCUUUAAUGUAAUUUAUUUACAACUCUACCAUUAUAUUGAUCAAGAAGACUGUGUUACCUCUUAAUGUAAAUUUAUUUACAAAUGUUCAAUUGUUCUGAUCAAAAAGACGUUUGUGUCCUUGAAAAUUUUGUUACUUCUUUAUUUUCCAUUUUUUAUUUGGUUGUGGGGUAAGAGGUGUCCAUGGUGGGUUUUGGCAAGGGGAAGGCCAUGAUAUGGUGGUGGAAUUAAAAAAGGAUGGUAGAGGCUGGGGUUUAGGGAUGUCAAUGGAUUGGGUAGGAUAAAUGGAUCAAAAUAUCAUAUCCAUACCCUUUUACACUUCUCAUCCAUGUACCCGUCCCCAUCCUCGUAAUUAGAUAAUGGAGAUUCCCCGUACCAGUACCCGUAUCCGUACCUUUUGGGGAUUACAUUUCCAUACCCGCCCUGAUCCCCGUUAACAUAUGUAUUAAAUUAUUAUUUUUUUAAAUACGAAAUAUAGAAGUAUGAAAUUAAAAUUAAAUUUCAAAAAUAAAUAAGUUUCAUGCUUCAAUCCAAUAAAAAUAAAUAUAAGUCUCGCUUAAAAAGAACAAUAUUGGUAAAUGAAUGUCUAUGCAUUCAACAAAAAAAUCCACAAUGCAUGCAUGGUUAAUGCAACAUAACAACUUGUUUAUAUAACUUUGCUUUAACCUAGGGUUUGCUCGUAUGAGGUUUGGGUUUGGAUUUGUUAUAUAUUACUUUAAUAAACAAUUUUUUAGGGUAAAAUUUCAUUAAGAGGAUAAAAAAUAUAAUAAAAAGGAAGUUUCAUUAAAUAUUUAUUAAGAGAAUUAUUUUUUACAUAAAUAUCUAUUUAUAAAUUAUAUAUAAAUAUAUAUAAUAAAUUAUAUAAUUAUAUAUAAUAAUAUUUUUCCAUCCUUAAUGGGUGGGGAUGGGGACGAAUAUCAAAAUAUCAUACCCGUCCCGUACCCGAUUUAAGAAUCCGAAUACAGAGGAUACUCAUCCCCGUUACCCAUUUAUCCUCGUAUAUUUUUCCCGUUAGGGUCGAAUACCCGUGGGUACCCUAUUCGCUGGGGAUUAUUGCCAUCCUGACUAGGGUUGAUGAUGAAUUUUGUGUAGGUGGCAGAAUAGGAGGUGGUAGAAUUGGAGGUGAGCGGUAGAUUUUGCAGACAUGGAGGCUAUGAUGUUGGUGGUAGAUUUGGGGAAGAUGAAUGUGUUUGUGGAAAAAUAGGGGAAGGCGUGGGAAUCAGCAGUAGAUUUAGAAAAGGUGGUGGCAUGAGAGACGUGAGAUGGGUAUUGAAUAUUGUUCAUUAUCAAGAAAUCCUAGCCCGCAGCAAUGUGUGGGUGGUGUCUAAAGCACUGUUAAAUAUGUUUUAUUUACUAGUGUAGUAAUAUACCAUUUGACACACAUAAUUUGAUGUAUGAUACUAAAUUUAUAACUUUCAACUAUUUUAUCUUUCUCAUUGCAUCAAAUUAAAACUAUGAUAUAUAGGUCGAGUUCUAUCUAUUAUUAGAACCGGAGACAAAAAGCGUGAAUUUCGCCCUAUGCAUUCAUAAUAUCUAAUAAUGACUAAAGAUACUAGUUUAGACAUGAUAUAUAAUGUCUACAUAAAUGAUUUGACAACCAUCCUACCACACGCAUUAAUUAUAUCAGGAUUACAGCUAUUGUGAAAUUUCCGAGGGAAUGUCCCUAGCUAGAAGAUGUACUAAUCGAGUCGGGCAAUAUGCCAAACUAGAUUUCUUGAAAGUGUAAAGCGACAGUUACCAUAUAUACACAUAUAAGUAUGUUUAAGAGUUAGUAGCACCUAAUUAGUAUCCUUCUAUAAGAUUUUGACAAGAAUUGGAAACAAAAGAGGAACUAAAUAGAGAUCGAGUCAGAGACUCAACUAAAUACUGAUCAACAAACAUAUAUAUAAUGAAAAUGAAAUCUGAACUAUAGAUUUAGAAAUUAAUGUUCUAGCUAGUAGUAUUGUACUUCAUCCAUUAUUGUUGAGAAGUGGUAGAAUUGGAGGUGAGCGGUGGAUUUUGCAGACAUGGAGGCUAUGAUGUUGGUGGUGGAUUUGGGGAAGAUGGAUGUGUUUGUGGAAAAAUAGGGAAAGGCGAGGGAAUCGGUAGUAGAUUUAGAAAAGGUGAUGGCAUGGGAAACGUGAGAUGAGGAUUGAACAUUAUUCAUCAUCAAGAAAUCUUAACCCGCGGUAACGCGCGGAUGAUAUGUAAAGCACUGUUAGACAGGUUUUAUUUACUAGUGUAGUAAUAUACCAUUUGAAACCAAGAUUCCAAAGUAAGAAGCUUUACCUUCUUCAGUGGCAAGAGUCCCAGAUUGUGCUUGAGAUUUGAUGGGUCCAAUGCAUAUAAGAACAACAAACACAGUAACAUAGCUAAACAAGACGAGUUUCUGACUAUGGAGAACUUCUGCCAUUCUUCCACACAAACCCUGUUGGCAUUCCGAUCUCUGUUUCAUCUGCAAAGCUCUUUAUAAUAAUAUAAUAAUCCAUUCAGUAAACUAUUUAAAUAGUUUCUCUCACAUCUUAAACUAGCCGACCCUACGAUUUUGUUAAAAGGAAAAUGUACAUUGAUUAGUACGCGUUUUGAUUCUACUCGAAGAAUCCAAGUCUUUUGUAAUUCUAUAUGGUCAGUCACAUGCAUGUAGUAUACGGCACACACCUUUUUGGUCCCCCCUUGUUUAAUAGUUUUCCUCAUGAACUAAUAAUAAGCUACCACAUACCCACAUACUUUAAUAAUAAGCAAUGUGAAAACCUGAAAAGAGAGUGCCAAGUUUUGACAAUUCAAAGCUGUGAGUCAGUGAAACUGGGAUUUGGCACAAUCUUGACUAGUGUUUCUUCUUCUUUUUCUUACUAGUAUAAAUUCAAAACAGAGAAGAAUAAAGUUUUGGACUUUUCGAAAGAGAUAGAGAUCUUGACUAGUGUUUCUUCUUCUUUUUCUUACUAGUAUAAAUUCCAAAACAGAGAAGAAUAAAGUUUUGGACUUUUCGAAAGAGAUAGAGAAAUAGAGUUGACUGACUUAUACCGGGAGACGUCUGGAAUGCUCCGGAGCGUCCAUGCUCCGUGUUUGUCUAUUGACAGAAGUAAAUUGGUAAAAACAAGAUUUUAUCACUUGCUUGCAAAUACGUCGAAGCUAGGCGCGUUGUGCGUGGGAUUAUAAUUUUUGCAGUUUUGAUUUCUUUUUCAUAUAAGAGAGCCUGAGAUUAUGGGUUCUGUAGGCCCUGAUCAUGUUCUCGUCUUCAAUCUUCAAACCAAACCAGUCUAGCUUCAAGCAAACCAACCCAGUCUUUAAGGAACUCAUACCCAGAAAAUACCAAGAACAAAAUCUUCAGGGAAGAGUGAUUCUCUUUUGCCUCUUCAGACCGGCACCUCUGCCUCCCUAGUCCCCAUCUCCCUUUCGACCUCUAAGCCUAAACCUCAAUUUACUGAUGAUCCAACCAACCCAAUCGUCUAGAGUAGGAGGGAGAGAGCAGAUGCCGAGUUCAACUCGAUCUUAGGAGGAAGCAGAAGGAGAGGAUGAAGAAAUAAGUGGGUUUUGCUGUUGAAACAAUUUUCACUUUUGGUUUCGACGAUGAAGGGCAAAAAAUGUGAAGAGUGGAUAUGGAACAAGAGAUUAGAAGUUUACUUUAGACUCUUGGAGUAAUCUUUAUCUCUUUGGUAAUUAAUAUCACGUUAAUCAAGGAGUAAUUUAAUAGUGAAAAAAGCUUAGAGGAAAAGAAACAAAAGGCCUCCCACUAUCGAGUUCCCCUGUCUCUGUUCUUAAAAGUGAUUAUAAAAAUUAAUAAACGAAGACUUGCAAAAUCUUCUCUAUUGAAGCGAAAUUUGAAGCUAAAUUUAGCUUAGAAAACAAGAAUAUUUCACACACAAAACUCUCAUAUUGAUGAGAUCUAACCACCCAUGUAAAAAUUUAAGGACGUUCAUCUCCCGACGAUAAAGCUCUCUAUAGGAAAACAUAAGCGUAAAUAGGAUUCACCGCUUCUAUCAGGGACCAAAUGUUACCGGAAAUAUGUGAUUUUUCAACCAUAACCGUAUUUCACCGUAUCUAUCACAUCAUAUUUCACAAGAUUUUUGAAAAUAUUGUUUCAUAUAUAUAGUUGGUUCACAGAUAUAUAUAUUUGUAUGUAACCUAUUAAACAAGUUAUUCCACAUUAAUAGGCACGUUGUGGUUCCGAUGGCUAAAUUUCACAAAUUGAAAAUUCAACCGUAUGAUAUGAUCAGUAUACUUAAAUACGGCUACGAAAAAAAAUUCACUUGUUUUCGAUAAGGUUCGGGUCUUGAUCCACACGAUCAAACCUAAACCAACGCCACUUAUUACAUGAAAACGGUUGUACAUACCCCUAUAUUGCCUAGUUUGGUUGAUUCUUCCACACACAAAACUCUCACAUUGAUGAGAUCUAACCACCCAUGUAAAAAUUUAGGGACGUUCACCUCCCGACUAUAAGGCUCCCCAUAGAGAAGCAUAAGUGUAAAUAUGGUUGACUGUUUCUAUCGGGGACCAAAUGUUACCGGAAAUAUGUGAUUUUUUAACCAUAGCCGUAUUUCACCGUACCGAUCACAUCAUAUUUCGCAAGAUUUUUGAAAAUAUUGCUUCCUAUAUAUAGUUGGUUCACAAAUAUGUACAUUUGCAUGAAACCUACUAAAUAAGUUAUUUCACAUUAGUAGGUACGUUGUGGUUCCGAUGGCUAAAUUUCACAAAAUGAAAAUUCAAGCGUAUGAUAUGAUCAGUAUACUUAAAUACGACUAUGGAAAAAAAUUCACUUCUUUUCGAUAAGGUUUGAGUCUCGAUCCAUAUGGUCAAACAUAAACCAACGCCGCUUAUUACAUGAAAACACUUACAUAUCCCUAUAUGGCCUAGAUUGGUUGAUUCUUCCACACAAAAAACUUUCACAUUUAUGAGAUCUAACCAUCCAUGUAAAAAAUUAGAGACGUUCACCUCCCGACGGAAAACAUAAGUGUAAAUAGAGUUGGUUAAACAAAAAAAUCAGAUAAAAUUUUCUUAAAUUAAAAUAUACAAGAAUUGGUUAAACAAAAAAAUCAAGUUCAGCCCACGUGGCUCGAACCUCUCUAGCCUGAGAGAUUAAUACGUGGCUUUAGCACUAAGCCAAAUAUUAUUAUUUGACUCAAUGACCUUCAAUAAUUAUCAAGAUUCUAAAAAACGUUAGACGCUAAUCGGACGACGUCUAGAUGAUUAAUCAGAGAUUAAUUAAGAAUUAAUCGGUUUUUUAUUUUUAUAAUUUUUUAAUAAAUAAAUAAUUACAACUAUAAUUUUUAUCACAUAAACUUUAUAAAUAACUAUUAAAACUAAAGUCUUACAAUAAUAUAUAUAAAAAAAAGUCUUACAAUAAUAUAUUCGAUUAUCAUCUCAUACAUUUAUUAAAAGUAAUUAAAAAUGGCAUAAAAAGGGCGGAAACAGAUUUAUCCUCAAUUAAUAACAAUCACACUUAUUAUUAUUAAUUAACAAUUAAUUAAUAUUGUUGAUCUUUAUGCUGGAAGAGGGGAGACGUUAAUAUGCACGCAUAACUAUGCACGUCUUCAACCACUCAACCUUUAAUCACCGAUCAUUCAUCGUCAUCUUCAAUCCUUUUCUUCAUAAAUUUACUUUGAUUUCAUUAUCUCUAUUCUCUCAUCAGUCAUCACACACAGUGCAAUUUCGAACCCAGGCUCUCCCUUUCGUUGCAUAAUUGCCGGAAUCAUAAUCGUUUGAUUUUGAUGCCUGGAUUCUUGCACGAACAACUCUUCGUUCCGACAACCGCCUAACUCCGCCCAGCCCACCUACCCCCGCCCAACCCGCCUAGGCGGCCCAAAAAUCGCCGGUCGACUAGACAUGACGAUUACAUCGAAAACGGGACGGAUAGCCGCCACCAAGCGCCUAGGCGCCGCUCAGAUCCGAUUUUUACAACCUUAUUAUUAAUUACAUAAUUAUGGCUUCGCAGCCUCUAGUCCUUUACCAUCGUCUUUCUCUGCCAAUCUCUGAAACAAAGUAGCAACUGAGUAAUUAAAUUGGGACAUCCAAAUCCAAAUCUAAAGAGAUUCGUCACCACCUCCGCCAGAAUCUCCGACUUAGUCUCCGAGACCACCAAGCGAUCACGCGAGUACGCCGCCGAGGCCUCCAAGAAAGCUUACGAUAUCAAAACCAGCAAAGCAAGCGAUCAUCAGAUCAAGGAGAGGGAUUAGAUUGUUUGUCUGAGUAUGGAUAUUGAAGAGCAUUAGUUUGUGUGGGUACUGAAGAUUUUGUUCUUGCUAAUUUCUGGGUAUGGAUUCUUUGUUGCUUGAAGACUGUUGGUUUGCUUGAAGACUGGUUUGGUUUGAAGAUUGAACAUGAGAAUCACGUCCGCGGAAAUACUUACCAAGGAUGAUGGACUCACGCGCUCAAGGAAGCUGAGGGAGACUAACGAUGGACUCACGCGUGUUUCAUACACGCGUCAGUGCACGAGCGACACGUAAGGCAAACAAACGCGGAGCACGGACGCUCCGGAGCAUUCCAGAACUCACCAUCUGGAGAGACCAAACAUAUGUGUGGGUCCCACGGGAUGUAGCAUAAUGGUAUAGUAGAAUUUUCUGUUUGAUAUACAUAAUUCAUUGUAUUAUUAAGAUAGCACAUCUCCAUCAUGUAACCUAAUUUACAUGAUUAAAGUAAUGGAAAGUUUCCUUUUACAUAAAGCGUACGUCUCCCAAUGUUUCUCCUGUUGAUGUUUCAAUUCCACCAAACUCACAUCGGUGCUAAUUUGUUUAUAAAUCAAGAUAUAAGGGUUUACAUGAAUCAAUCUGGUGAAAAUAAUCAAAAUAUACACAUCUGGUGAGGCUUUAGACAGUGUGUUCUUCUGUGUUGGUCAUAACGUUGAUUUGAUAGUGUCUAGUUUGAUUGUGUUUGAUAUGUGUACGGAAGAUGGAUGAGUCUCUAGAGUCACCAAGAUCGGUGCUCUGAUACUAUAAAGAAAUAUGAAUGAAAUAUGUUUUGUAUUGAUAUGAUAACAGUACAAUGAAUUGGUCUAUAUACAUCUACUAUGAUAACUAUUGUAGGAAAGGCAUGAUUACAUAUAUCAAGAUCUUAUAAACAUUCAUAGAAAAGAUAUGUCAGAAUCCCGAUCCACCAUUUACUCCAUUAUAUCCGCUCCAUUCUACUUGAAUGCAUAUCAGUAGAUUACUUCAUUCCAUAAUAAGAUAACAUAGAGUGCUUAAUAUGCCAACUACACAGACGAUAGUUCUUACACAUAUUCAGUACACGUAGUUGGCUCAGAGCUCUCCAAAAAAUUAUUGUAAGAAACAUCUAUCUGGCUGCACACAGAUAUGAUUAAAUUGUAAGCAAGUUGAAUCUACAGAAACUUUUAGGGGUAUUGAUAAAAUAGGAAACAUACUAGCGGUUAUCACUGCUCUUAAUCCAGUCUGGAAUAGAGCCAUUGAGCAAGUUGCUUGUCAGAUACCUAUACCGAAAGAAAACAUAAUCACAUUCAGUUGAUUACUUAACUACAAAAGGUUGGUUACAUGGUAUAAAUGUAUGCUUAUGUAUAAGUGUAGAUACUAUAUGCAGGGGACCCCUGCAUCAUGUUUAUGCUAGUCAUGGCAUAUAUGAAAUUCACAUUUCUUACAAGUACUGCAGUUUGGUCUCAACAAGUUCUUGAAGAUCAGGAGUGCUUCCUUCCAGUUUGUUGAAGCUAAGUUCUCUGUAAACAAUAACAAGAGCAUGUUAUAAGAACCCGAAGCUUACUAUUUGGAUGCUUGACUGAGUAGAUGAACCACAUUGAUCAAACUGCUAUUGAGAAAGUAUCAAUUGAAUGUGGCUUGUAGACCAUAAAAAAAUAUGGUAGAUAAAAAGAAAGUAAUGAAAUAGCAGCAUUACAAGAUAUUCAAUGCUGUCAUUGCUGAUAAAUCAGGAAUAGAUCCAUUUAAAUUACAGCUCCUCAGCAUUCUGCAACAUAACUCCAUAUUAGCAUUAUUGGGGAUAAGCAUGGAUUAAUUAGUCUAAAACUGUGUGCAAGAAAAAUACAUCAUCUUCUAGACUUACAAUCUUUGCAAGCUUGUCAUAUUACUUAAGUCUGGAAACACUGAACCCCCUCCAUUUAAGUCGCUGAUCCUUCUGCAUAAAUUGCAUCAUAAAUAAUUAAUAAGCCUAAAAAAAGUCCCUGUGAUAUGAAGCUGCAAUAUAGAUUGUUAACUGUAGAAUGUAGANNNNNNNNNNNNNNNNNNNNAAUAAAAUAAAGCAAACUGCGGUUGAAAAAGAACAAGAAGAAGAAGCUUACAGAUUCUGUAAGUUAACCAAAUUCCCAAGCUCAGGAGGAACAGUUCCAUUGAACAUGUUAGUCUCUAGAUUCCUGAAAACAUAUUCUCCUUUUUAUCAAGCAGGCUAGAAAUAAUGAAAAUUAAACUUGAUUCGGUAAACACAAAGAAGUAAGAAAGAGAGAAUGAGAGAUAGAGGCAGAACAUACAAGUAUCUUAGAGUGGUAUGUUCCCCAAGAAAGCAGGGAUUGGUCCAGUUAAGUUGUUCACAUUAAAGGACCUGCAGUUUACUCAGUGUCUUAGUUCAAUCAUUCUAAGCCAUUAUUGGCGAACCAUGAAUAUGGAGAUAAGAAGUGCAUUUACAUAUAUUCCAACUUUGUAGAGCCCCAUUCACUCGGUAUAUUACCACUAAGAAAGUUCCUCGUGAAAUCGCUGUAAACAAGGGCAAACAUAUUAAUCAUAAGACUAGCAUUUGUGAAAAACUACAAAAUUUCAGAUGGUAUCAUAGUACAUUACAAAAUCCUUACAUUUGUGUAAGGUAGGGUAAUUUUGCAAUAGAUGGUGGAAGAACACCAGCAAGAUCUUGCCCUCUAAGAAUACUGUUUCCAACAAAAGUCAGUGCUGAUCAUAAAACUCAAACUUACGCAGAAAAAGCUAGUAGUCAUACUGUCUUACAUUUCAUUCUCAUAAACAAAAUGGAUUCUCCUAAAUUGGAAAGGAAAGAACAAAAAAUUCCCACACACUUGCAGAGUGCAGUGCAUGAAAAGCCAAUUGAAAGAUUGCAAUUCAAACCCAACAAAGCUAGGUGAUUAUAGAGCAAUGCAUAACAUAUAUAUCAACAAAUUAAGCUUGAAAUGCACCUACAUGUUAAUGACAUGCCAUCAGGGAAGGAGCAGUUGCAGGUGAGUGUGUUGUUGAAUAGAGGCCUAUCAGCAGACUUCGGUGUAGCCCAGCUUGUGUGGGUUGUGUCAUUCAGGCACGGGUCUACGCUGAAGUCCCAGUCUGUUUUUCCUAUCUGUGUAGCAAUUUCUUCUAGGGCAGCCACUGCAAACACAAAUCAAAACCCUUUAUGUAUUUAGUUCUUCCUGUAUUUAUUAAGUAUAUUAGAAAAAUUAAUAGUACUGGGAGAGAAACUCUUGCAUCAAGUCGUUGUCGUAUAGUGGUAAGUAUUCCCGCCUGUCACCCGGCGACCCGGGUUCGAUCCCCGGCAACAGCGUUAUUUUCUAAAGCCACCUUCAUUCUCUUUCCCUUUUUAGGAAGUACACCGACGAAGAAGAAGAUACAGAUGAAGAAUAAGGAUGGCGUACCUUCAGAAGCAGGAAGAAGAGUUGUAAGCGCCUCAACUUCGACUAUACCAAAUUACCAAUAUUGUGAAAACGAAGAUCAGUUGUUGAAGAGGUGCAAUGUUGAAGAGGUGCAAUGUUGACUUUUAUAGUUGACCCUAGUGGAGGGCAGCUGUAAUAAUCUAGUUGGAGACUUUCUUAUUUUUCUCUUUCUUUUAUUCUGUGCUGUAAUAAUUGUUAGAGUAUCUCUAACUAUAAAUUCUUCUUCAUGCUUGUAUUCUGGUACGCUUUGUAUUUUUAUCUGAAAAAUAUCUGAAAGGUUCCACAAGGUUCUCUCUCCUUUCUUUCUUCCAUUUUAGCGAAGCUUGAGAUUCUAGGGUUUGUUUGAGCUACGGCUAUGAUGUUAUCAUGGUAUCAGAGCUUCGGCUCUUGAUCCUGAUUCUCAUCUAAGCUUGAUUCGUGGUUGUUUGCAGCUUUCGCUUCCGCUCUUCGUUUCUGGUGUUCGUUUGCUGCAGAAACCCUAGCUUUCUUUGUUUUUCAGAUCUGCAAAGUUUAAGCUUCUAAGGUUCAUCUCUGAGCUUCGAUCUCUCUAUUCGUAGCUUAAUUUCGAUGUUUUGAUGCCUAUAUGUAUAGAUCUCAGGGUUGUUGCCUAGAUCUGCUAAGCUACUGUGUUCUUCAUGCUCUAGAAGCUUACUAUCUUGCUGGAUCCUUCUUUUGAAGCCUUUUGAUAAGAUAGAGUAUGGCCAGUGCUCAUUUUUCUCCAUAUUUGAGCUUGAUCUGUGUGUUUUAGCUAUAGUAGAAGAACAUUUCAGUGAUGAUUAGCAGUUUUGAUGUGUGUGAUGUGCUGCGGAGAGAAAUAGUGCGUGUUUUGUGUUGAGAAGUGUUGUUAUGUGCUUAAGUGAGUGUGCUGUGAAGUGUAGUGCUGUGCUUGAGAAAGUAAAGUUGUAGUGUUCAAUGCAGUGAAGUGUUGAUCAUAAAGAAGUGUGGUUAUAGUUUCUACUUUUGGUAGUGAUCUGAUUCAGUCCUUUUGUGUGAUAGUAGGAAUCAUGACAAAUACUCAGUCAGAAAUAAACUCACUGUUGAGCAUGAUAACUGUGAAAUUGGGAGAUACUAAUUUCAUUAAGUGGAGUUAUCAGUUCCAAUCUGUUCUGGAGGUGAAUGAUCUCUUCAGCUAUAUAUUUUGAUGGUUCUUAUCCAUGUCCUCCUCGAUUUUUUCUAUCUGAGGAAGGUUUAGUGACAAGUGAGAUUAGUGAAAGCCUAUAAAGAGUGGAAAAUGAUAGACAAGGCAUUGAUAGGUCUCUUAAUGGCAACUCUGGAUGAUGAGGUUAUGGAUAUCAUUGUGGGAUCUAGGUCAUCAAGGGAAGCCUGGUUAGCAUUACAAGAGAGAUUCUCUUCUGUUUCUAGAGCUAGUAUCAUGCAGUUGAAGACUGAUUUACAAAUCAUUAAGAAAGGUGCAGAUUCUAUUGAGAAGUACCUUCUGCGCAUUAAGCAUGCUAAAGACCAACUCAGCUCUGUUGGUGUCACGAUGGUAGAUGAAGAUAUUGUAGUUGUGACUCUUAAUGGUUUACCUGAAGAAUACUCUAUGAUAAAGACUGUCAUUAGAGCAAGAGAUAACUCAAUUUCCUUUAAGGACCUUAGAGCUCAACUGUUGGCAGCAAAAAGAGACAUUGAAUCUCAGUUUUCUUUGAGUGGCUCUACGACAGCAAUGGCAACGAGAGGUUCCUCCAAUUUUAGAGGUAGUAGCAGUAAUGGAGCUAACAAUUUCAAUGGUGACAAAGGAAAAAGGGUUUGGAAUGAUUCUGCUAAGAAGUCCAACUGGAGUGGCACUAAGCAAUUUACUCAAGGUCAAAGUUCAGACUCAUUAUGGUGGUGCUAAGUGUCAGAUAUGUGACAAGAAGGGUCACACUACUGAUAAUUGCUAUAGAGAUUCUAUUUGAGUUUUGUGGCAGGCAAGGACAUAUUGCUCGAAUUUGUUUCAACAAUCCAGCUUCUCCAAAUUACAAACCUGGGAAUGGUGAAUAUAGAAAUAAUAGUGGAGCCUCACUUGAAUGUCAACUUUGUAACAAAAGAGGACAUACAGCUAUUAACUGUCCUUCAAGAAAUGAAGGCUCAUCUGUGUUUGUUUGCCAAAUCUAUGGUCUGAAAGGCUAUACUGCUUUGGAUUGCCCACACAGGAGCAAUUAUGCUUUUCAAGGCUCCAAUCCUCCUGCUACAAUCACAGCUAUGUCUGCUCAUACUCAUGGUGCAUCAUCUUCAGGUGUUUCUCCUAAUGAAGUUUGGAUUAGAGACACAGGAGCAACUCACCAUAUGACCUCUGAUCUCAGAAAUCUUGCUAUAGCUCAUCCUUAUGAUUCCUCCAAUUCAAUCACUAUUGGUAAUGGUGAAGGUUUGAGUAUCAAACAUAUUGGUUCUACUGAAAUUACUCCUCAUACUUUUCAGUUGAAUAAUGUUCUUCAUGUUCCAAGUUUGGCAGUUAAUUUGUUAUCUCUUAACAAGUUAUGCAAGGAUAAUAAGUGUUUCAUUGUCAUGGAUGGCACUGAAAUUAGUGAAAUAUGUGUGUAGGACAAAAUGUCAAGGGAAAUCCUUCAUCAAGGAAAGAGUACAUCUAAAGGGCUGUUUCUGUUUACUACUCCUCAAAUAAGGUCUUCUCAUACUGCCUUCAUUGGAUCAGCUGUGAAAUCCACUAUGUGGCAUCAAAGGCUAGGCCAUCCAUCUGCUGCUGUUGUUUCCAAGAUGCUUAGCUACUCUUAAGAUUUCUAGUCCAAGGGAUGCAUCUGAUCAGUUGUGUAUAUCUUGUUUGUCAGGGAAAAUGCAUAGAUUACCUUUUGUUGAGUCCACUUCUAAGUCAACUGCUCAUUUUCAGAAAAUUCAUUCUGAUGUAUGGGGUCCAGCACCAUGUUUGUCUUUAGAAGAAUUCAGGUACUAUGUGACAUUUAUAGAUGAUUUCACCAAGUUUGUAUGGAUAUUUCCUUUAAUCAAUAAAUCAUAUGUUUUUCCCACUUUUGUGAAGUAUAGUGCUUUUGUGCAUAAUCAAUUUCAUUUUGCCAUUAAGUGUUUGCAAAGUGAUGGUGGUGGUGAGUUCAUAAGUAAAAAAUUUACUGCAUUCUUGGACAGUAAAGGUAUUCUGCAUCAGAUUACAUGUCCAUAUACCCCUCAGCAAAAUGGUGUUGCUGAGAGGAAAAAUAGGCAUAUUGUGGAAACCUGUAUUACUCUUAUGACUGCAGCGAAAUUACCAAAACCUUUCUGGUAUCAUUCAGUUGCUCAUGCCACUUACCUUAUCAACAGAAUGCCAUGUCAGUCUUUGCAGAUGCAAUCUCCAUACUUCAGAUUUUUUGGUACUCAUCCUGACAUUUCAUCUCUAAAGAUUUUUAGCUCAGCUUGUUUUCCGCUUCUUCGGCCUAUGCUAAGGAUAAGCUUGAUCCUAGAUCAACUGAUCAGUGUAUUUUUCUGGGAUAUGCUCUUGGAUUUAAAGGUGUUUUCUGUUACAGUAUCUCUUUAAAUAAACUGUGGAUGUGUCGCCAUGUUGUUCACAAUGAAACUGUUUUUCCCUAUCACUUGUCUCCACAGUCAGGAUCUGGUUCAUCCUCUACUUCCUCUCCUAAGCCUUAUCUUCGUCAUCUUUUUGUUUCUACUUCUCAGCCUUCCACAGUUUCCACUGGACAGGCUGAUCCGGGGGGGGGUAGUGGUGGUAUUGUUGGAGCUGUUGAUCCUGAUGAGUCUAGUGGUGGUGUUAAUAUUGGUGAAGAUAAUGUGAGUGGUAAUGAGAAUAUCUAUGAUGCAAGUGUUUCUGAGACUGUUGACAGCAAUGAGAAUAUUAAUACUGAAGCUCCAGGUUCUGAAGAUUUUGUUGCUCAAGGUGGAGUUGAAACUAUGAAUGUGAAUGUGAAUGGGAGUACUGAUGUUAACAGUUUGUUUAAUGGUAUUGAUACAAAUGGCAAAAUUCUUCCUUAUGAGCUGUCUUUUGUGAAUGAUCCAGCUCAAUGCUAUAACAAUCAUUCAAUUCUAACUAGAGCAAAGAAUGAAAUUGUUAAGAAAAAGACCUUUGAGGAUUACUGUGCUUUUUCUUGUAUAGUUCAGCAAAACCAGGUUGAUGAACUAGCAUACUUCAGUGGUUUUUCAUCUGUUUUGCAUCUAAAUGAACUAGUAGAACCUAGCUGCUUUAGACAUGCAACAGGAAAACCAGAAUGGGAUGAGGCCAUGAAUGAAGAGAUAGCUGCUUUAAAGAAUCAAGGAACUUGGACUUUGGUUCCUUUGCCUUCAAAUAAGAAUGUGGUGGGAAGUAAGUGGAUUUAUAAGAUCAAGAAGAAUCCUGAUGGUUCAGUGUCUAGAUUUAAAGCUAGACUUGUUGCUCAAGGCUUCAGUCAGGAGAAAGGUUUAGAUAAUGAAGAGACAUUCAGUCCAGUUGUUAGACAUAGUACUGUGAGAAUUAUUCUUGCUCUUGCAGCAAUGAAUAAAUGGGAACUGAAACAACUUGAUAUGAAAAAUGCAUUUCUGCAUGGAGAUUUAAAAGAAGAAGUAUAUAUGCAGCAGCCUCAGGGGUACAAGGAUCCAAACUUUCCAGAUUAUGUUUGUCUCUUGAGGAAAUCUCUUUAUGGACUUAAACAGGCACCAAGAGCUUGGAAUGAGAAAUUUACCAGUUACCUUCCAGCUCUUGGAUUUACCUAUUCUCACUCUGAUCCAAGCUUGUUCAUUAAGAAUUCUGGUGCUGGUGUCAUAGCACUCUUAUUAUAUGUUGAUGAUAUUAUUAUCACAGGAUCAGACAAAGAUGGAAUCAGAUAUGUAGUUUCAGAACUCAGUGCAAUUUUUGACAUGAAAGAUCCUGGAACACUAUCAUAUUUUCUUGGGAUAAAUGUGCAGUACAAGAAUAAUGGAAUUUUCUUGUCUCAAGAAAAGUAUGCUAAAGAACUGAUUGCUAAGCUGGUUUGUCUACAUGCAGAAAUCAUAGCAAAACUCAUUGCAUUCCUCAUAUGCAGCUUCUAAAGGAUGAAGGUACACUUCUACCUAAUCCUACUUUGUAUAGAAGUAUAGUUGGAGCUCUGCAGUAUUUAACUUUCACAAGGCCAAACAUAGCUUAUUCUGUGAAUACAGUGUGUCAAUUCAUGUCUUCUCCUACAGAUGUGCAUUUCUCUUCAGUUAAAAGAAUUUUGAGAUAUUUACAAGGCACUCUCUCAAAAGGUCUCUUUUACAAAUGUGGUUACAGUAUUCCUUUUAUUAGAGCUUACUGUGAUGCAGACUGGGCAGGUGAGAUAAAUACCAGAAGAUCUACUACUGGUUUUGUUGUAUUUUUGGGACAUUGUCCAAUUUCAUGGCAGUCAAAGAAGCAAGGAUCAGUUUCAAGAAACUCAACAGAAGCAGAAUAUAGAGCUCUGGCAAACACAGCUGCAGAAAUAUCUUGGAUAAGACAUGUCUUAUGUGAUCUUCAUGUAAGAAUUCCAGCUCCUCCUGUUCUAAAAUGUGACAAACUAUCUGCUCUAGCCUUGAGUUCCAAUCCAGUGUUUCACUCAAGAAUCAAGCACCUAGAUAAUGAUUUUCACUUUGUGAGAGAGAAAGUUCAAAGCAGGAUUUAUUACUGGAAUAUGUUCCAACUGAAGAACAAACUGCAGAUGUUUUUACUAAAGGGUUACACAGUCCUGCUUUCAAUACUCAUUGUACCAAUCUUAACAUGGUGACCCCUGUUGAGAUUGAGGGGAGGUGAAAACGAAGAUCAGUUGUUGAAUAGGUGCAAUGUUGACUUUUGUAGUUGACCCUAGUGGAGGACAGCUGUAAUAAUCUAGUUGGAGACUUUCUUAUUUUUCUCUUUCUUUUAUUCUGUGCUGUAAUAAUUGUUAGAGUAUCUCUAACUAUAAAUUCUUCUUCAUGCUUGUAUUCUUGUACGCUUUGUAUUUUUAUCUGAAAAAUAUCUGAAAGGUUCCACAAGGUUCUCUCUCCUUUCUUUCUUCCAUUUUAGCCAAGCUUGAGAUUCUAGGGUUAUUUGAGCUAUGGCUAUGAUGUUAUCAUAUUGCAGCUAACAACCAGUAUCCCCACCACGAUGAGGUUCACGAUGGUUUUCCGACCACUAUUAGGAAGAAAUAGUCCAGCUCCGAUCGCCAUAUUCGUUUUCUUCUUGCAUCCAACACUAAUCCAUCUUAUUGCUCCCUGAAUCUUGGUCCUCUUUGAUGAGCUGUGGCUUUGCUAACUCGUUGGUCUUAAACUCUACGAUCUUUAGCUAGUGGCUCGCCUACUAUAUAUUACUGAUAGAAAUGGACAAAUAUAUAAUUGAAGGGACCCCUAAGACAGAGACCUGUGGAAGAAGGAGACUAUUCUUCAAUAUCGAAAUAAAGAUAUCCAUAGUAUAUGUGUGAAUAAUUCAUGCAUGCAUGUGCUUUUUCUUACGUGUUAUAGUUUAGGCGCAGACUUAGACCGAUCGAUCUGGUUUUACAUUUGAGAUAUUUGUCUGCGUUUUUGGUCGAUUUUUAUAUAAAAAGCAAAGGAGGGAAAAGAGAAGAAGACGACUACCGGACUACGAUGUUUUUUUUUCUUGGUUUUGGGUCAAAGGACUCCAAUGGUGAAUGUCUUGUUCCUUUUUUUUUUUUUUUUUUCUUUUUUUCCGACUAACAUUGUUCUUAGAAUCUUGAUACAUGAGGUUGUGAUUAUGCUUUACUCGUAAUAUCAUAUUCUCACAUGUCUAUCAACAUUUUUUCCGUAACGUGAGGCUACUUUGUUUUUUAUAUUCUCAUAAUAAAAUUGUUAGUUUUUAUAUGUUUUUUUUGUUACCGUAUAAUAUAAAGGCCAUGAUCAAGUCUCUGAUUGAGCAAAAUUCACAAUUUCCCCGCUAUGACACCUAGGAUCAUUGCAAGUACAAAUUGCAAGGGAUGCAAGUUUGCAACUAAAUGAAGUUGAAACUAUGUGAGUAUCGAUCCGUAGAUAACAAUAAUAUAUCGAGGAGACGUCUCACCUGAUCGAAUGCAUCUCUUUUUUUUAAAUGUACAUCAAUAUAUGUUUUUUUUUCCUCAAAAUAAUAUACAGACCUAAUGCACUAAUCUCCACUAGGUUUCAAUAUUGAAUUAAGGGAAAAAGCCCUAAUGCACAAAUAGUACCUUUUCCUAGCCCAAACCAAUCAAAAAAAGAUUACACAGCCCAAACCAAUGUUUCUUAGUAAAAAUACAGUUAUACCCUAGCCUUAAUAACCGCUUCCCUCGUCCACCGAACCCACUCCGAAUUCAAUUCCUUCUCAACAGUUCUCACUCAAUCGACGCAGCUUCGCUUAUUCAAUCCAUCGAUGCCGCUUCGCUUAUUCAAUCCAUCGACGCCGCUUCGCUUCUUCAAUCCAUCGACGCCGCUGCCUCACUCCUCACUCCAUCAAGACCUUAGCACCCAUCCCCGCGCGCCGCUUUGCUGGUUCAGUACAUCGCCGCCGCUGCUUCAGUACUUCACCGCCGCUGCUUCACUCCACCGCCGCCGCUGCUUCACUCUAUCGCUGCUGUUGCUUCACUCCAUCGCCACCACUACAUCGCGCUAAAAUUCUUCUUUUUCAGGUGAAAAGACCCUAGCAUAAAUCUGUGUUUAUACCCCUAAUAAUGUUGUCUGGGUUCAUAUUUCUCUGCUUCAAUGUGUUUUAUGGCAAUGUAGAAACGGUGUGGCAACUUUACUACCCCUAAUACUUUACUAGCUAGGGGUAGUAAACUUUAAUUUUUGUUUGCAUGUCAGUUAUUCCCACUGUCGGUGUUCAAUACUAGGGGUAGUAAAACUUUGAUUUUGUUGAAUGCAAGUUGUUUUCUAGGUCUGCAUGUGUAUAAUGGUGUUGGAAAUAGAAGUUUACUACCCCAGUAGAAGUUACUAGGGGUAGUAAAAUAAAGUUUUGUUUACACAUAAGUUGUUUCUCUUUCAGAGUGUAUAUUGGCCUUCGAGGGAUGUUCUAUUGCAAGUUUACAACCCCCAGUUGAAAUUUACUAGGGGUAGUAAACUUUUUAAUAUGAAGUUUAUAGAGGCAGGAUCACUAGGGGUAGUAAUUUCCACUGUCUGGAUGUGUCUAAUGGCUGUGUUCAAUACUAGGGGUAGUAAAACUUUGAUUUUGUUGAAUGCGAGUUGUUUUCUAGGUCUGCAUGUGUAUAAUGGUGUUGGAAAUAGAAGUUUACUACCCCAGUAGAAGUUACUAGGGGUAGUAAAAUAAAGUUUUGUUUGCACAUAAGUUGUUUCUCUUUCAGAGUGUAUAUUGGCCUUGGAGGGAUGUUCUAUUGCAAGUUUACUACCCCCAGUUGAAAUUUACUAGGGGUAGUAAACUUUUUAAUAUGAAGUUUAUAAAGGCAGGAUCACUAGGGGUAGUAAAACUUUGGUGUUUUGCAUAUGCAGGAUGGCAUGAAGGCAACUUGUUACUAGUCUAGAGUCUGAGGAAACCUCACCAUCUACGUCCGUCAACACAAGCAUGAAAUUGCACUCAUACAUACAACGGGAAAAAUUGAAUGUUCCCCAAAAAAGAGCGAGACAAGAAGAAGAUGACACAGAAGAAGAAGUGGAACAGUAUUUUAUAGAGAAGAGAGCAAUGGAAGUGGCAGAAAUAGAGAAGGAUGACUAGGAUGAGGAGGAGGACGAGGAUGAGGACCUGGAAAAGAUUCGGCACACUCAACAGAAAUGUACUCUGGUAACAUUCUUCAAAUUAAUAGAGAGUCACAGAGACAAAAUCCCCUCAGAAGCAUGGUAGCUGAUCAGUCAAACUUGCUUUGGUGAAAUGAUUAACGCAUUUAGAACCAGGAGCAUCGUUGCGGAUCAUGUUAGCAGAUUUGAGUUUGAUAUAGAAAUUUUAUUGAGGCACUAUUGCAAGGAGACAAAAAAGUUCAUAUUUGGAGAAAAAGAAAUGGAGAUUAAAGAGGAAGAUGUGCAUCUUUUGUUUGGAUUAACAAAAGAAGGUGAAAAUGAGGAAGAGAAAAUCUCCAGGAGAAAGAAGAGCAGCCAACAGUCAACCAUAUUCGGCAAAACGAAAGGAUCCAUCUUUAGGAAGAUGAUCCACGACAAGUUGACAGAAGAGCUCAACAAGAUUAAGAACAAGGAGGCAAAAUCAAGGAAAAUUGCUUCCUUGAUCAUAAUGUACCUACUGGCUACUUUCUUCUUCAGCACAUCUAGAAGCCAAAUUGAAUGGCAAUUGGUGCUGACAUGUGAGGACCUAGAAGCAAUAAACAAAAUAAACUGGUCAAGAAAGGUGAUUGAAGCCUUCCAUGAAGGAGUGAAAAAGCAUGUCAAGGGCAAGCCAAAGGGUCUGAAUGGUUGCGUAGUUCUGCCUCUGUACUGUUUCUUGGAGCGUACAAAAAUCAAGGAAAAAAAUCCAGAAGAAACAAGCAGCUAUGCCAAGAUUUGUAAGAUGGUCCACAAAUGGCAUCAUCUACAGAAGCGACUAUCUAAAGAGACCGAAAAAGCUUGAGGUAAAAAUUGGUUUUUGGUUUUCCAAAUAUUAUACAGCAUUGUACUUAGAUGUUGUUUCUAAAAAACUGAACGAAUCUUAUUUUUGCUAAAAACAGGAACUGGUUGCUAAAGGUCCAUGGAAGGAUGAGGAAGAAAGCACUUCCGGAUCAGAGGAAUAUGACACCCCAGACGAACAUGGCACCCGGAGCUUUGAAGAAUGGGUAAGUCUGAAAAAUGAAUGAAAUAAAAGUGCAUUGGCAUACUUUACUGCCCCUAGUAAUAGUUCACUACUUCACUUUUCAUUGCAUAAGUAGUAUAUGAUAUCAAGUUUACUAGGGGCAGUAAACUGUAUAAUCAUCUCUAAAUCAAUAGUUGACUGUUGGCAUAGUUAACUGUGGGUAGUAAACCUGUUUGGCAUAGUUUACUACCCCUAGUAAACAUUUACCAGGGGUAGUAAGUCACAUUUUUUUCUUCCUGAUUGUGAAAAAAGUAAUUUACUAGGGGGUAGUAAACCUGUUUGGCAUAGUUUACUACCCCCAGUAAACAUUUACUGGGGGUAGUAAGUCACAUUUUUCUUCCUGAUUGUGGAAAAAGUAGUUUACUAGGGGGUAGUAAAAUUCAUACUUAUAUGUAUGUAUUUGGUCUCAGGUUCCUUUAUCAAGCCAGCAAGAAGUGGAAGAAAAUAAAAGAGUGGGCGACAAUUUUAAGACACUACUGACAGACUUGGAGGAGGAGAUCCCAGAAGAUUUGAAUGAGAAGCUAAAGAACUCGACAAAGCAAACGAAGAACUCCAGAAUAGAAUCAAUGAUUACGUGCACAAGUUACAGCUUGCCGAUGACAAAUAAAGCAGCUGGAGAUGGAGAAAAGGGUGCAAGAGAGCCUCGUUGAGGCUCUGAAGAGAAAGCUUAAAAAAAGCAAAAUCCUCAGCAAAUGAACCUCCCAAGCACAAAAGGCAAUUCGGUGGGGAAGAGUAUGGCUGCCAAGGAGAUGAACAAACAAAAGGGAAUGUAAGAUGAUACUUUACACUAUAACUAAGACUAUUUUUUACUUUAUUUUGUUUUCUUUAUUAUGUUAACUAAUAUAUAUAUAUUUUUAAAUUAAAAAAUCAGGAAAACCAUAACUGAAGCCUGACAGUCAAGUUCAAAGUUGGAACUGCACAAACAACACAAUCUGCAGAUGAUCAACCAGAAGCUUGGGUGAGAAUAUAAAAUUACUAGGGGGUAGUAGACUUAAUAGGAAAACUGUGUUGCAAGGUAGUAAAACCCAGGCAAACUAUUACUAGGGGUAGUAAACGUUUUGUUAUUGUUAAAAAUCUGAGAAUAACAUGUGUUAUUUUAUUUUGUGAAGGCUGUGAUACAUGAUGAACAACCACUGAAUCACAUAUCUCCAGAAAUGGACUAUGAGGACAUGCCGCUCACAGAGGAUGACAUCUGUAAUUUAGAUAAGAUAGUUGAGUCCCAAGCUGCAUCCGUCCAACAAUCAGCAACGGAAAAGGACAAUGACAUCUCUGCAACAGUUCAGUCCCAAGUUUCAUCGACCGAACAAACAGCAACAACAAAGGAUAAAGAGAUGAAUACUUAUUCCAAGAAGAGGAAAGCAAUGGAUCUGAUGUCGAUAGAAAAAAAUGUGAAGCUGAACCCUAGAGACGCCAAGAAAACGUUUGAAGCCCGCCCGAACAAAAAGGAAGAGUAAGUUUCAAUUAUAUAAAACUUUACAGUUUGCUUAUGCAAAAUUACAAAAAUAUAUUUGUUUUCAUUGGAGUAUGAAUUCAAUGUUUUUCUACAAUGAAGCGUACUGGACAUGUCCUGAAGGCUGGCACUGUUUAUCAAAGAGUGACUUGAAAAGGAUCAUCGAACACUCAGACACGUUGUCGAGUGUGAGUAAUAAAAAAAUAAAUAAUAUCUCCUUAUUAGCACCACUCAGUGAAGUUUAGAUUUAAUAAUAUUGACUUAUGUUAUGAUCGCAAAGCCUGCAAGUGUACAUUAGGUUGUUGAAGGAAAAGGCAGAAGCUGCCAAACUUUCUGUUGGAUUCAUGAACAUGGAGAUUGUGGUAAGUUUACUAGGGGCAAUAAAACUAAUAUUUUCAUUAAGAUAUUGUUUUGCAAGUUUACUACCCUUAGUAGCAGAUUACUAGGGGUAGUAAACUUAAGUUUUUGGUAUGUAUAUUUAUUUUUCUUUCAUUUGAUCUCUAUAAUGACUGUGAGGAUACCAUCUGGAAACUUUCAUGUAAAUUUAAUACAUUCCAUAGAGUAUUUUUGAAUGCAAAACAACAUUAUGUGUUGCUAUCGAAAGUUUACUACCCAUAUAAAAUUGUUUUUUUUAGUGCAAAACAGUUUAAUAAAUAGCUUUCGAAAGGUUUACUACCAUCUGCAAUGUGUUUUUUUAUGCUCUGGAAACUUUACUACCCCUAGUAAAGUAUGCUUUAGGGUGCAGAAUAACAAAAUAUGAUGCUCUGCAAACUUUACUGCCCCCAGUAAAGUACGUUUUAGGGUGCAGAACAACAAAAUCUGAUGCUUUGGAAACUUUACUACCCCUAGUAAAGUAUGUUAUAGGGUGCAGAACAAUAAAAACUGAGGUUCUGGAAACAUUACUACCCCUAGUAAUGUAUGUGUUAGGCUGCAGAAUAACUAAAUCUGAUGUUUUGGAACAUUACUACCCCCAGUAAAGUUUACUAUGGGUUGUAAAAUGUUAUUUAUAUCUCUUGGUUGAUCUAAGGUUAAUCAUAUUUGUUUUUUAAAUGCAGAAGGAUGUGAUAGAGCAUGAAACAAUGUUGGAACUGCACAAGCUAAAUGGAGGAACAACUGGAGACUUCAAAAGUGGUUAUGAACUCCGUAUGGAGGAAAACUUCUAUAACCCGCUUUGGACCCUGUUUGGAAAGCAAAUGGUCUUCAUUCCGUUGCAUCACGGGUCCAGCCUUCACUACACUUUGCUGCUGAUUGACAACAUCAACAAACGCUUUUUUCACAUGAACUCUUCGCUGCCAACACCGUACAAAGAAAAAAACAACUUUCACUUCAAAAAUGCAAAAGCAGUGGUGAGUAAACAAUCAAAACAUUUUUAUUAAAAUAAAAUAAAAUGCAAAGCAUUCAAUUGUUAAGGUUAACUAAUGUUUAAAAAUUGUUUUGUUGCUUAAUAUACAGGUGAAGCACAUCAAGGAGUUCAUCAAACGUAUACAUUAUACAACUGUAUUUUCUUUGAGCCAAGACCUUGACCAAAAUGAAUACAGGGAAGAUUACGCGAUUGAUUACGGACCCGAGGACAGUCAAGGCAGAAAACCUAGCAACAUAGUGAAAAUGACAGAGGACGAAAAGGUGACAAGACGUUGGAUUAUUGAUCAUAACAUGCAUCACAAACAAUACAAACUGACCGAAGACCGCACAUGCCCCCAGCAAAAUGUAUCAUCGUAAGUACAUGAAUAUUCUUCUUGUACAUGUAUCACUGUUUGUUAGGGUUGAUAACUACAUAACCAGAUGCUUUGAGAGUUUACUACCCCUGGUAAAUGUUUUUUGUUAGGGGGGUAGAACAACAUAAAUGAGGGGGCCGGGUAGUAAUGUACAUUAAUAUUCAGAUUUAUUUUCUCAGUCAAAAUAAGUUAUUAACAUAGUUAGCCCUUUGAUUUAUGGCAGGUCUGAUUGUGGUCCAUUUAUUCUACAUUAUAUGGAGGCAAUGUGUGCUAGGUUGGAUCCAAACCAAGAAGGCGGCAACCCAAAUGAGGAAGAAGAUGUUAGAGGAGUUUGCGAAACUAAACAAAUGAUUUAUGUAACUUUUGCUAGAAUUGUGGACAGAUAUCACAACUAAGACUGAGAUCCAAUUUUAAGUUCUAUUUUGAAACUUUCAUGUAAAUUUAAGGGAAUUUAAUACCUAGUAAAGUAAUGGUUUACUACCAUCAGCAAUGUGUUUUUUUAUGCUCUGGAAACUUUACUGCCCCCAGUAAAGUAUGUGUUAGGGUGCAGAACAAGUAAAUCUGACGACUUGGAAACAUUACUACCCCCAGUAAAGUAUGUGUUAGGGUGCAGAACAAGUAAAUCUGACGACUUGGAAACAUUACUACCCCCAGUAAAGUUUAUUUCUGGGUGCAGAACAACAUUACUACCCCCCUUUUAGUUGUGUUUUUUUAUGCUCUGGAAACAUUACUACCCCUAGUAAAGUGUUCUAGGGUGCAGAACAACAAAAACUGAGGUUCUGGAAACUUUACUACCUCUAGUAAAGUAUGUGUUAGGCUGCAGAACAAGUAAAUCUGACGACUUGGAAACAUUACUACCCCCAGUAAAGUUUGUUACUUGGGAGGGAAGAACAGAAAACCCUUAGAACUUUAAUGCUUGGGACAGAUGAACUUAAUAAUAUUGUCAAGAGAAUUCCACAAUAAUGAACAUCACAAAAAUCUUCAAUCAAAAUCCUUACAAUAGAGAAAAAUCUAAAUAUAGUUAAAAAAACAUCCAAAAAACAACAAAUUCCAAACAUCCACUAACAACCAGAAGGAUGUACAAGAAACUACAGCAACAGUUCAAAGGUUCCGUACAGCUCUUCUUGUUAUGAUGGCCCAUCUUAUUACAACGAUCGCAUCGAAUCAGCUUCUUCUCACUAGCAGAUGCUAUCCUCUUUGAUUUAGGCCUCCCAGCCGGCCUCUUUGUAACAGGAGGUAGUAUAAAGUCCUCAGUGGAAGAACAAAAGGCAUCCACGUUACUCAGAGGUGCAAUAGGAAAGCUAUAACACAUCCUAUAGUAUUCAGCAGUAAAAUAAGGAUCAAUGAAAUCAUACACAUCAAGUCUUGCACCUUGUAUAGCAGCAAGUGAAUGAGCGCAUGGGAAGCAAUUAAUCUGCCACUUAACACAUGAACAAGUACGAGUAGAGAGGUCCACUGAAUAGGAGUACUUAUCAUUCCUAAUCUCAUAAACAUUUUCAUGGGAAGCAAUCACCCUGAACACACGAGACCUAUCAAGCUGCUCUUUCAGCCUCUUCUCCAUUUUAGGAGUAAGCUUGGUAGUCCAAGAUUUCGACUCAACACUCCUUUCUGACAUCAUCUUCAUUUCUUUCAUUCUUGUUUGAUCUAACAUAGCGAAAGGGGGCAGUGAAUGCUCAGCAACAAUCCAGUUAUUAAAGGAUUCAGCAAUACCAUUUGCCAUAAUCCCAUACCGACAACCUUUAAAAAAAGCACGGCACCAAUGUUCCAAUGGAAUCUCCCUUAUGAAUUCAUCAAUAAUAGCAGCCCCACCCUCAUCUCUCAAAUUUUUUAAAUGAAAGUAGAAAGACUUCUCAGUCGAUGCAUAAGCCACUUUAAAGAAUUUUUGUAACACAUCAGCAACAACAAUUUCCCCUCCUUUGUUCUUAUACUUUCGACUAAGGUUGUAUCGCAAAUAAUGAUAACAGUAAAAAUGAGGAUUACCAGGAAAAAUGAGAUCAAAUGCCUUCAACAAACCAACACCACGAUCACUAAUGAAUGUGAUAAUCCUUCCUUACGGUUCCAACAAAGCCUUCAAGUUCAAGUGCUUGAAGAAAAACAACCAGUUUUUUUCAGUCUCUGAAUCACAAAAACACAAGGCUAAAGGGAAGAAACCUACACAAUAAAAAAACAAACAAAUAAUUACUAGGGGUAGUAAAAUAAACAGCAGCGUGUCGCUGCACCGCUAACGGGAGCGUUCCGCUCCAAAAUGAAAGUCUAACAAACCAUAAAACUAUAAGAAAACAUAUUCAAAUCAGAAGAAUGAAGAUUUCAAAAAUUACUGGGGGGUAGUAAAAUAUAUAGCGGCAAAAAAAUACAAUUGACUACCACCAGUAAGCUUCUACUGGGGGUAGUAAACCUGCAAAACAGUAUCUCCAAAGGCUAUUAUACACAUUAAAACAGUGAAAAAUCAAAUUAGAUGCGAAAUAAUAAAGUCUACUGGGGGUAGUAACGUUUAAAAUAGAGAUUACUACCCUAGUAAUCUUCUACUGGGUGUAGUAAACUUGCAAAACAAUAUCCCCAAAGGCCGUAAUACACAUUAAAACGUGCUUCUGCAUAGCUAACGGGAGCGUUCCUUUCCAAAACUAAGACUAAAACAAAAAAAAAAAAAAAAAGCAUGAAGAUUUUCAAAAUUACUAGGGCUAGCGUUCCGCUCCAAAACGAAAGGCUAACAAAAGAGAAGAAACAUAAAAAGCAGCGUGCCGCUGCACCACUAACGGGAGCGUUCCGCUCCAAAACAUAACAUGUACAACUAAAAAAUAGAAAAAUUACUAACAAUUACUAGGCGUAGUAAAAUAACAAGAGGUACCUUUGUUUCCAUUUCUUCCAGUUGUAGCAAGAAUCUGCCCCUUGUAUUUGCUCUUUUCAAAGGCACCAUCAACAUAUAAAACAGGUAGGCUGAACUUGAAACCCUGAAUUUGGCCGGCAUAAGCUACAAAAACCCUUUUAAACCUCUCGGUACUCUCAUCAACUUCAAGAACAACUGAAGAACCCGGAUUAGUCUCCAACACAGCUUCCCUAAACCAGCUUAACAUAGAAAACGAAUCACAUUCCGAGCUAUACAUCUUUUCCACACACCUUUUUUUUGCUCUUGAAGCAACCUUAUAACUAAUUUCAUAACCAUAAGUGGACUUGAAAUUGCUCAUGAUCUCACGGGGCUUCAAACCAAGAUUCAGACAAACAGUAGACUCAAUGCAUGUCCUAACAAUUUUAGACCCUAAUUGCCGAUGAGAAUGAUUUCUUAUCAUACCUCUGCAUGUAUGAACAUUAUUAAACCGCGUAAUGUAAAAGCACUGAUUAAUAGAAGCAACAAAUCCAAGGACUUCCCAGCCACAGUGGUCAACAUCACGAUUUGCACAAACAGCAUUAACGUAAAUUGAAUCAUUCCUAGAUAGCACAUAAUGGAAACCACUUUGAACAGCAAACUUCCUCAGUUUAUCUCUAAAGUCUACAAUGCUCUCAAACUUCUGCCCAGCAUGUGACAAAUAUGAACCCCAUUCAUCCGACAAAAAAAACUUCUGAGGUCCAUCCUUAAAAGCAUCACCUAGAUAGUCAUUCUCAUCUAUCAUCUCAGCACAAUCAUCAACCACUACACUAGUUGAUGAACAACUUUUCUCGACAUCCUUGACUACUGUCACUACUACAUUCUCCAUAUGAUAAAUUUUUGCACAGCAGAAGAGCAUCUUAAAAUCAGAUUCAUUAUCUAAAUAAAUGGCAGAACAAGCAGGCGAUGAAUACUCAAGGUGAAAAGAAUCAUUGGACGAAAACUUAAAUCGUUUUCGGAUGGAUUGAAUAAGGUCUGAAUAAUUCAUGAGCUUAUUGAGGAGAAGGACAAAGCCAUUGCCAGAAAAAACAAAUUGAACACACAAAGAACCAACAGUGCUCCUGCAAAAAAAACAAAAACACACAGGUCCAAAAGUUACUACCCCCAGUAAAUGUCAAUUUCUACAAAAACAGACUGAAAAACAUAAGUAAUAUGCUAGAAGUACAAAUAAUAAGCAAUGAAAACAACAACUAACCACAAUUAAAAAACAAAAACACACAGGUCCAAAAGUUACUACCCCCAGUAAAUGUCAAUUUCUACAAAAACAUACUGAAAACAUAAGUAAUAUGCUAGAAGUACAAACAAUAAGUAAUGAAAACAACAACUAACCACAAUUAAAAACAAAAACACACAGAUCAUAAAUAUUACUACCCCCAGUAAAUGUCAAUUUCUACAAAAACAGACUGAAAAACAUAAGUAAUAUGUUAGAAGUACAAAAAAAAAAGCACAGCAAAAACAUUAAAAACAACAAUAAGACAUAGAUCGCAAACAUUACUACCCCCAGGAACAAGUCCAAAAAAUCCAGAAAUUUUCGAAACAACAUGCAAACGAAGCGCAUUCAAGAAGCGACCUAUAAUUCAACUAAAAAAAUAAAGAAAAGAGGAAUUGAAGAGAUUCAAACUGAGUAGGAACCGAAGAGCAAACCAAAGCCCGAUCUAGCUCCAUUUACUACGUAAUUCUGCUAAGGGAAGAGAGGUUAUGGUGCCGCCGGAAAACCGCAACGGAAAUUGGCUCGAAAUCGCAGUCUGAAACAACGCCGUCGGUCCUCUCUGAAACGACGGCUCUCCGAUCGCUCUCUCUCUCUCNNNNNNNNNNNNNNNNNNNNCUCUCUCUCUCUCUCUCUCUCUCUCUCUCUCUCUCCGAUCGUAAACUUUCUCUCUCUUCAAAACAGAAAUUUGAAAAUAGAUCUCGUCUGGUAUAUAUAGUCUACGGGUUGAGGGUAUUUUCGACAGAAAAAACCAUUAAAAGUAGGCUCAUUAGAAAAGUUUUGUCCAAUAAGACACAUUUCACACACCUUAUAUUGAAGUGGGCAUAUUUCUUUUAAAAACAUUUAAAUGGGCAAAAAGAAGCUUAAAUUAGUACUAAAGUGUCAUUUACUCUUGAAUUAAUCAUCGAAAAUUAAAGUUGGCUGUAUGAUAUUAACAAUGUGGCGCGCCAUCCCGAUGGGUCACUUUCUACUAGAAAAAUAGUUGUGUUCAUCAUGUGUUGGUACACAUCCUAUUUUAAUCAAAUAAAACGUACGAUCAAAGUAAAUAAAUUGCAAGUGAUAAUUUCUUAUUUAGUUGGAGACCACGAAGUCAAAAACGGCUUCUUUUAUCUAUGUGUAGGCUUUUUAAUUGAUGAGAAGCUUGAUGUGUCUAGGCUUUUUUUUUGUUUUAUCAAAAAUAUCUGGAUCAUUAUUCUAUUGGGAAAAGAAAUUAGGCUUUCACGAUUUGCUGUAGGAGUAUAAAGGGAAGCAAAAUCUGCAACUCGAUCCUAUUAGCACAAAUUUGAACUUUAGAACAUAACCUCUUGGACUACUUUAAAUAUCUAAGUAAUCUAUAAAAAUUCUUUUAUGCAACACAUGUAAAUAUAUAAACUAUACGAUCUUAAUCAUUCAUAAAGUUGGUAUUUUUCGAAAGAAACAAAAGUUGACUGUUUACAGGAACGGAGGCAUGGUCGGCCUUGGAUCCCUCUGUAAAAGGUCCAAUAUUCUGGUCAACUAUGGAGACAUACAACUUUGUCCGCGGAAACAACACGGAGUCCUACACGAUGUGCUACGUUGGAGAAGAAAUGUUCUAAUACGAAAACACGAUAGUGUGACAUGGUGGUUUGUUAAUCUUCAAUUUUAACUUGAAUAAACUUUAUAGAGAUCUGAAGACGUAGUAUCAGAAGAAGCAGUCCAUGGUGCAUCUGAUGAAAGCACGAGGCUGUGACUUUCACUUGUUGAGCUAAUCCCUUGUGCAUUCUGCUCAGACAGGUUUUCGAAGGCUCUUAACCUCGUCAUUUCAUCACCAUGGAUACUUGGAUCCAAAGCCACUUCAUCCACUGGGGUUCGCCCUUCAAGCAUACUCACUACUGCAGACAUGAUAGGCCUGAGUGCAGCUGUUGGAUUGGCGCACAGCAGAGCUACUUUGAUAGUUCUAAGCGCCUCUUUCUUUUUGAAAUCGGAUCCCAACCUCUGAUCCACCAACUCCAGUAAGUUCCCUUUUUUAUGCAAAACAUGGGCCUAAAGAUAAGCAGAGAAAAUGAGUGGAUGAUCACAAACUAGUUACAUAUAUAUGUAGUGACAGAAUUUUUGAAUGAAGAUUAUUUAUCUUACCCAAUCCAUAAGACAUUGAAUGUUCUCAUGCGGUCGAUAUUUCAUGUUGUUCUUUCCUGAAACAAUUUCUAAUGCAACAACUCCAAAACUGUAGACAUCUGCCUUGUAGGUCAAGCAACCCCAUAGUGCAUAUUCCGGUGCCAUGUAUCCUCUGCACAACAAUUAAAUGUUGUUUUCACGGACUGAUUAGUCACNNNNNNNNNNNNNNNNNNNNNNNNNNNNNNNNNNNNNNNNNNNNNNNNNNNNNNNNNNNNNNNNNNNNNNNNNNNNNNNNNNNNNNNNNNNNNNNNNNNNNNNNNNNNNNNNNNNNNNNNNNNNNNNNNNNNNNNNNNNNNNNNNNNNNNNNNNNNNNNNNNNNNNNNNNNNNNNNNNNNNNNNNNNNNNNNNNNNNNNNNNNNNNNNNNNNNNNNNNNNNNNNNNNNNNNNNNNNNNNNNNNNNNNNNNNNNNNNNNNNNNNNNNNNNNNNNNNNNNNNNNNNNNNNNNNNNNNNNNNNNNNNNNNNNNNNNNNNNNNNNNNNNNNNNNNNNNNNNNNNNNNNNNNNNNNNNNNNNNNNNNNNNNNNNNNNNNNNNNNNNNNNNNNNNNNNNNNNNNNNNNNNNNNNNNNNNNNNNNNNNNNNNNNNNNNNNNNNNNNNNNNNNNNNNNNNNNNNNNNNNNNNNNNNNNNNNNNNNNNNNNNNNNNNNNNNNNNNNNNNNNNNNNNNNNNNNNNNNNNNNNNNNNNNNNNNNNNNNNNNNNNNNNNNNNNNNNNNNNNNNNNNNNNNNNNNNNNAAGGAUCAAAGUUAUUAGUGGCAGCUUUAAUUUGCCUCAAGGUGAAAAAGCCAGUCUGCAGAUCCAUUCCUCUCAGAACUGUCCAACAAACAAUGUUACAAUAUGAGUAAUGUCUUGAGAAAUCAUUCUUUUGACUUAGUAUCUGACUGUGUGUUUCCUAGUUCACAUAGGAAAUUUGGAAGUAUAAUGCCCAUGUGAUACUUGAAAUUGUCAUAGUGGAGUUACAGCACCUUUUUCCCUUGAUGUCUGGCUAUCCACCAGACAACCUCUCCACCAAAGAAUGCCAAAAUUAAGAAGACAAGGCACAAAAUUGAAGCUCCAACUGAAACUCCAACCACAACAUAUAUCUUUCUUUUGGAAUGCUUGAACUCUACAGAAAGUGAAGAAAAAAAAAACAAAUCAUCAGAAAGAAAUAGAUAAACUUCAGUUUAUAUUAUACAACCAUAGAUAGGGAAUAACAACUGAGAAUGGUAUUUCCCUUAACAAGGGUGCUAUCUGUUUGAAUAUCGCAAACAUCAAAUAUAGCUACAAAACUUGAAACAGAUGCAAUAAUUGGACUGAAAACAUAAACUUGUCCUUUGGUUCCUACUCGGUUCUGGACAAGUACAAAACAAAUGGAUGUAAAUUAAGCCUAUAAUAAAGUUCUAAAAAUAGGAUUAAAAGAGCUUGUACAAAGUCAGAAGAUUACCAGAUUCUAUAGAAAUGGCUGAUAUAAGGGGACCAUAGAUUCCUCUCCUUGGGGAAGCUGUUGUCCCUUUUCCAGACCAAUGAAACCGAAUCUCUAGAGUUUUAUUCUUAACCUGAACUGCCUUUGUCUCUUUAAUGACUUCUUUAUCAACACCUUUUGCUUCCUUUACGAUGUCAAAAUCCUUUAAUACGAGUUUCUCCUGUAACAAAUGUCAUCCAUAAGAUGAAGUGUGUGGCACUAAAACUCACUAGUGGUAAAAAUUACUACCUGAAUAUAGACAUCAAAUAUCCGUCUUCCAACACUUUGAUAAGAUUUAUUGCCUCGGAUUAUUAUCUCCGCAAAGUGAAGGCUCACAGUAUAGUUUCCUUGUGCUAAGCAGUUUGCAUAAUACGUGAGAGAAAGAGGACUGAGGCGUGCAUUCAUGUACAACUGAGAGUUUUUCAUUCCGAGUGUUGAUACAUUUUUGGCUAUGUAGUCUCCAGCGGUGACAUUAGUAUCCCAGAAUACUCCAGUGCUACUGGUUCCCCAGUUGGAUCUUGGAACAAAUUUUGCUCCACCUCCAAGAUCUUUAUCAUCUUCAUAAUUGACUCGUCCAAUGGUCGCUCCUCCACCACAAUUUAUAUGUAAUGAGUACUGAACUGUUCAGUAACAGCAGAUAAUUGAAAAUUCAGAUUAGCGAAAAUAUUUGAGUGGAUAUGAUAUAAAUAUAUUAGGUCAUAUAUAUGGAAACUCAAGUUCACAACUGAGUUCCUUGUACACAAUCUUUACAAAAUUAAACAACUAAGAACCUAACCAUCAUUUGAUUCCUGUCUAUUCAAUCAAAUUUUGGAUUUUAAGAUAUAUAACGUUACCUUCUUUACAGGAAUAAUUCUCCAAGCACACUCCAGAUACUCUAGAAUAUGAUGAAGUACAGUAAUCAGCUUAUGUAGUAAAUCCAAUAAAGUGAUAAAAGAAAAAACAAUGGCUGCAUGGAUCUUCAAUGAUAGUAUGAAACUUACGAGUUGUUUUCUGCAGAAGAGCUUUUGAAGACGUUCCUGAUACAUGCCCAAUCAAUUGAAAAAGAACAAUUAGAGGUGAAUGAAGACUGUAGUAUGUGCUUGGUAUGUCAACUACACAGAAAACAGUUCUUACAGGUUUUCGCUGCAUGUAGAUGGCUCAGAGUCCUUGGAAAAAUUAUUGUAAGAAACAUCUAUCGUGCUGCACACAAAGAUGACAAACAUGUGAGCGAGUAUAAAUCCACUGUAAAAUACAUAAACGUUCAUUUAAAUGCUUAAACGGUAUAUAGUUAGUUAAUGUCGACAGAGAAUCAUAGACUCCUAGUCAUUGAUGAUUCAAAUGCUACAAAUAAUUCAUAUGAAAAGGAAAAAGAAGCUCCAAUAUCCUAUUGAGUUAACAAUAUUGUUAACACUGCUAAUAGAAUCGUCUGAUAGACACCUCAAAUAAACAAUGUAAAAAACAGAGACUGAAAAUGAAAUUGAUGUCGGAUAGAAGACAUACUAGCGGAAAUCUUUGGUCUUAAUAUAUUCUGGAAUAGAGCCAUUGAGCAAGUUGCUUGUCAGGUACCUUUCCCGAAAGAAAUCACAGUCACAUUCAGUUGAAGUAAUUAUUACUUAACUACAGAAGGAUAGUUAAAUGGGAUAAAUUUAUGCUUAUGUAUAAAUGUAUAUAUGAAGAUAGCAUAUGAAGUGAGGGGGAGCCCCCCUGCAUCAUAGUCAUGACAUAUAUGAAAUCCACAUUUCUUACAAGUACUGCACAUUCAUAGCUUCAACGUCAGGAAAGCUUCCUUCCAAUCUGUUGAAGCUGAGAUCUCUGUAAGAUAAUGGAUGUUAUAAGAACCGAAAGCUUACUGUUUGGAAGCUUAACUGAGAAGAUGAACCGUUUAUCAAAUUGCAAUCGAGAAUGCAUACUGAAUGUGCCUUAUGUACUUGAAUGAGUACUAGAAUAUAAAGAUUAAGAAGAGGAGUAAAUUACAAUCUAUUCAAUACUGUCAUUGCUUUUAAAUCAGGAAUCUGUCCAGAUAAAUUACAGCUCCUUAGCAUUCUGCAGUAUAACUCAAUAUUAGCAUAGUUUCAGAUAAACAUGGACUAGUCUAAAACUACAGACGGAAAUACAACAUGUUUUAGACUCACAAUCUUGUCAUGCUUUUCAUAUUAGUCAGGUUUGGAAAUUCUGAACACCCUCCGUUUAAGUCGCUGAUCCUUCUGCAUCCAUUGCAUCAUAAAUAACUGUUAGGCGAAAACAAUCCCUUUGAUAUGAAGCUAUAGUGUUAAAUAUAAUGUAGAAUAUGGUUUUCAGUGUUAACUAUACUGUUACUGCAACGAAGAGCUGGGUGUGGAACUCACAGUUCUGUUAAAUUACUCAAGACAGAAAUGCUAGACGGAAUGGGGCCUUGUAGACCACUAGCUUGGAUCUCUCUGUCAAGAAUUCAACAUGGAUAGAGAUUACACCAAUUCU